UGGCUUCGUACAGGAUUUAUUCUAUGAAAUGCUACAAGGAUGGUGAAGAGUGCAUUUAAGUUGAGAAAGUGAAAAUCAAAUGAAAACCCUGUAUAUGGUGUUGAAAAUUGUAGUCCUUGCAUGUUAGGCAUAUGGAAUUUGUUGGGUCCCAAAUUUCAAAGGUAAGCAGCAUCAUAGACUUUUUGUUCCGAACAACAACGCUUUUUAGUCAUGCGUGGACUGGAAGUUAUGCUGGAACCGCCCUAUCAAUUCUGCUCAUAAAGAAUAAUGGGACAUCAAUAUGGAUUUUGUGAAAAGGGAACUUGAUAUCCUAGUCUGCUUUCCAUUUCAGGUUCAGUGGUUCGGGAAAUCAUUAAAAUAACCUCAAGAUAUAACAGGGGAGAUGUAUUUUUAGCAAUCUACAGUGUCCAUUCCAUUUCCGUCCUUCCUUCCUUGCAUGCUUGUGCCUUUAGGAAGCUUGAGAAUCCAGACAGUACAAUUUUUGAAGAGGAGAUAUGAAGUCGUCCAGCUUAUAAAUUGAAAUGUUUGGGAUUCUGUCGCACAAAACAUUCUGUAGAUUGAAAAUUCUUCUAAGCGCAGAAUCGUAAGGUAUAGUGGUGAUCCGGGCUAAUCUUUGCAUUAAAAAUCUAAUUGCUAGACACAGAAACCCUGUGUUUGAGGUGGGAGUCACCUCACAAGCUAGUUUUUGAGAGAAAUAGGAUCAAGACCACCAAACAAUUGCUAUCAGAGCUCAUGUAUGCUAGCAAGUCUGGACCCGACAAUCAGAGUAAAAAACUGGUUGUUGUGGCUUCAACCUAAAGCCAGAUGUGUGAGGGGGGAGAUUGCUGCAGUUAUCCGACAUCAGUAGUGGAAGAGGCUGGCGAGGGAAUUUAUAAGAAGCUAGCUUUUGACGAAGAAAUAUGCUCAAGACCACCACCUAACAAAAACAGCAUUCAAGCCAUCUAUACCAAAAGCUUUAUACGGACCCUGGACCGAUGUAAGAAAAGAGCAUCUUUGAUCUCUAUAUCAGCAACAGGCAUACAUAAAGAAUUAUAAGCACGGCUAGAAAGCAUAGAAAAAGCACCUGAGAUCGGAAAUUCCUCCAUUAUUUGCUAGUCUUGAUCGAAAUAAAAAGCUUAAUUCCCUUA